rnacentral:lncRNA from 10 species
AUAAUGAGAAAACCUGAAGAGGAAGGAAAAACAGUGUUCUCUUUGCCUUAGUAUUCUCACCAUUCUUGAAAAUGUCACACACUUCAGAUCGUCAGCCUCCUAGACACUAGACCUUGAUCAUUUUGUGAAUAUCACUCUUCAGAACCUAUUCAAACUUGUUCGUCAGACAGAGGUUUCAUCUGCCUGCAGGAAGUGUUCCUGGACGUAACCAAGGGUCAGGCUGCUUAUUCUCAUGGCCCAAUAAUGAGAUGCAGAUGAACUGGGAAAGAAGAGAGUUUAUUUCUGCAACCAGCUUCAGGGAGAAGGCCAGGAAAAUAUUGCCAGACCAGCUCAAAAUUACAAAGUUUUCCAAAGCUCAUGUACCUUCUAAGUCUACGUGCUCCACUGGCAGACAGCAGAGAAGGGGAGAAGAGGAGAAGCAGCUGGACAUUGAAGACUCUGGUUUGACAUAAGAGAGAAGCAGCUUCACUUCAGAGGGACAACUUGACAUUGGGACAUCAGGGGAAGAAUGCCUUCUUCCUACUCCAUCCCCUUUCCAGCUCCCCCUCUCACUGAGAGCCACUUCCAUCAGCAAUAAAAUCCCCCACAUUUACUAUCCUUGAAUUUGUGCAACCUGGUUUUUCCUGGACACCAGACAAGAGCUUGGGAUACAGAAAACUGUCACACUAACCAUCUGCCCUCAUGAAAAGGCAGAGGGUCCACUGAGCUAUUAAACACUGAAGCUGUCUGCAGACAGCAAAGCUAAAAGAGCACUGUAACACACUCCCUCUGGUGCUUCAGGGGUAACAGGUAGUCCCGUAGACACCGCCAUCAGGCUACACGGAGUUUUGCUCCUUCCAGUACCCAAAAGCACUCACUCCAGCUUCUGCACCUGCUCACCUGCAUGCUCCCCCUCCCACGAGGGGUUGAAAGCUGCGGGCUGAGUAAGUGAGGCACCCCUGUCACAAGGCUUGAGAAGGGAUCAAGGAAAAUUUCCUGUUUCAUUAUGCUUUGUUCAUGCCUAUCUCUGGACAAGCAACUAUGGCCAGGGAAAAGGGGUUGUACAAUAUGUUCAGGAGAAGAGAAGAAGCUACUCUUUUGGCCAUUUUGAACAAUAGCCAAUUCACCACACAGCAUAAUUAAUGGUUUAGAAUUUUUUCUUCUUUUAUUUUUUUCUUUCUGUAGAGACAGUAUCUCAUUGUGUUGCCCAAGCUGGUCUCGAACUCUUGGACUCAAGCAAUCAUCCUGCCUCAGCCUCCCAAAGUGCUGGGGUUAUAGGCAUGAGCCAACACGCCCUGCCUAGAAUUUCAUUUCUAUUCAUUAAAAAUACAUCAAAUGGUUUUUAUAUUACAGUAAAAUCACUAUUUCAAAUGAUUAUUCCAUAUAUUUUAUGUGCAAAAUUAAGAGCUGCCAUAUUGUCUUUAAAGGCCUGCAGGUAUAGAAAGGACUCACUGCUUUUUAUGAACACAUCUCUCCUAUUCACACCUCCAAGAGUUAUUGCUUCUUGGUAACCCUCCAUUAAGCGUUUGAUUAAGUUCAAGGUGAUUAGAUUAUUAACACUUUAGUCAUGGUCUGGUUGGCUUAUCCCCCUACCCCUCUCCAUUCUUUUAAUCACUGCUCUAUUCAUCCACUCAACAAAUAUUUAAUGAGUGCCUAUUAUAUGCCAAUUCUAUAGAUACUAAACAUAAAUAGAGAUAAAUAAAGCAUGAUCUCUGCAUUUAAGGGCUAUACCAAAGAUGGGACAUCAGACAAAUAAACAGAUUAUUAUAAUACUGUGUAAGGGCCAAGUCCCCUUCAUCCUCUGAAAGUUCACUGAAAAUCAACUGACAAAAAGUAGACUAAUACAAGAAAAAGCACACAUUCUAUUAACAUGCUAUAGGCGUCUUACAAAAUAAGAUCUCUUAAAAAGGCAAAUGAUUGACCCACUUAUGCCAUGUCGAGGUUACAGAACUAAUAGGUGUCUGGAUCAUGGCAAAACUAAUUACAGGAGGGGGAGAAGAGGAGGCCUGGCUAGCAAAGGUGAUCUUGUUCUGUGGAUGAAACCUCACAGGCCUCAGCCCUCAGAAAGAAUAGAUGGUAAAUGUUUAUUUUAGGCUUUUAAAGGUGUCAGACUCUUGGCCAAUCUUUCCUAGAUCUGACAAAGCCUGGCUGCAUCAAUGUAGAUUCUCUACAGAUGCAAAUCACCGCCUCAACACACAGUUUUACAGAGCUGCUUCUGUUUGCAGACCCUCUGAAUGUUACAGGUAGUUAGACAGGCAUGAGCUGGGCAGGAGAGGGCUCUCCUCAACCCACCAGGAAUGUCAGGUGAUGAUUCAACGAUUAGCACAUUGCUUCUCUACAGAUGAUAAUUUGGCAGCAGGCACCAGGGAGAAGCAAAAAUAACUUCCAAUAAAAUCUCAGGUAUUGGGUGAAUGAGUCUAGACACGUAGAUUAGGAGACAAAAUGGCAGAGCAUGACCUUCCGGGGGCAGUCCACCAGAAAAGAGAAGAAGACCUGAGAUGUGCCUGUGUACAACCUCCUGAAUACACUGCGUGUGCUCACUUCCCAAGCAUAAGGAGGGCACUCCACAUGCAGGCAGCCCACCCUAAGGGAAGAAUCAUGGGAAAGGGGGACGUGAGAAGCAGGAGGUCGGCCAGCCUAUAAAGUCCUGGGAUCAAGGUUAAACACCACUCUUGACCUCGAUGCCUCGUUGGGUCUCUUCCAAGUGUAUUUUUCUUUCUUUCCUGUUCUAAGGUCUUUUUAAAUAAACUUCCACUCCUCCUCUGAAACUUGCCUUUGUCUCUUUUUCUGGCUAUUCCCCUCAGUCGAAUUCUCUCUUCUGAGGAGGCAAGAGUUGAGGUUGCUGCAGACCCAUAUGGAUUCGCCACCG